UUGAGAGGCAUCUCUUAAAUAUCAAAGGUGAGCCAGUACAGGAUGGACCCGCGUCUGAUUAGCUAGUUGGUAAGGUAACGGCUUACCAAGGCGACGAUCAGUAGCCGACCUGAGAGGGUGAUCGGCCACAUUGGAACUGAGACACGGUCCAAACUCCUACGGGAGGCAGCAGUGGGGAAUAUUGCACAAUGGGCGAAAGCCUGAUGCAGCAACGCCGCGUGAGUGAUGAAGGCCUUCGGGUCGUAAAACUCUGUCCUCAAGGAAGAUAAUGACGGUACUUGAGGAGGAAGCCCCGGCUAACUACGUGCCAGCAGCCGCGGUAAUACGUAGGGGGCUAGCGUUAUCCGGAUUUACUGGGCGUAAAGGGUGCGUAGGCGGUCUUUCAAGUCAGGAGUGAAAGGCUACGGCUCAACCGUAGUAAGCUCUUGAAACU
rnacentral:rRNA from 1 species